CAAAGUGCUCAUAGUGCAGGUAGUUCUAGCAUCAUUCUACUGUAGUGUGAGCACUUCUAG
rnacentral:pre_miRNA from 1 species